rnacentral:tRNA from 1 species
UUCUCGGUAGCUCAGCUGGUAGUGCAAACGACUAUUAAUCGUUGGGUUGCAGGUUCGAGUCCUACCCGAGGAG